rnacentral:lncRNA from 1 species
GCGGGAAUUGUUAUCAGUUUAAAUGGCUCUCAAAGCUGUUCUCCUCUUCUUGCUCUCUCUUUUACUUCUAGCUACCAUCCCUGGCGCUCUCAUCCCCUCUGCCAUGGCCGCGAGAGAUGUUGGUAACAAGUCUCCUCCUCUUCCUCGUGAGUACCUUUCCUAUGCCUCUAUGCAUUCUUUCUGAUGGUAAAAUUAUUUUGAGAGUCUGCUUGAUCCCACUUAUCCUUUUACUCUCAGCAGCAAUACUAAGUUUUCAUGAAGUGUUUGAAAAAAUAAUAAUAAUUUGCAACUUCUGGUGGGUCGAAAAGCAAGAUGAGAUACUUGAAUUUGGUAUUUGCAUUUUCGCUGCAGAACAAAUUAAAUUUUUUAAAAAAUAAAUUUAUGUAGUGCUUCUCCUAAUAAUAUUACUUGGACAAACAAUAUUCUAUCUUUUAGCUUGGUGGGUGGUAUGGACUGAGCGAAACAACACUAUCUUCCGAUCGAUACCCCCAACCCUCUGCGCUCGCUUGACCGUAUUAACGUUUUACUAAACAACUGGAGCAAUUUCUGCUGACCGCGGACUGUAUUUUUAGCCUUUUUCUCUUUCUCCUUCUCUCCAUGUCUUUGGUUUUUUUUUGCACUUUUCUUUUUUCCCGGAAGCUUUAGCUGCAUCCACCUUGUAAGUCUAGUUCAUCCUUUUUAAUGAAUGAAGCAGGUACCUCGCUAUCUUUUUCUCAAAAAAAAAAAGAAAAAACAAUAUUCUAUCUUUUAUAAAACAGUAUAAUAUCUUAAUAUUUUAUCAAAUAAUAUAAUAUCUUUCAGUAGGUCUAAAUUAACAAGCUCUAAAACUAACUUAUAACCUAUUUGGCGUUUGAAAAAACUAUUGUUAGAGAUGCUGACUUUACCUGUUGCUUGGUGUUUCCAGAAGCUUCAAAAUAUUUCGGCUUCCACGUUCAGCACUAUAUAUACAUCAAACUAAUUAUUAUUUUAGCUUAAGCCACAAUAAGGAGAAAAAAAAAAAAAGUUUCUUAUUUUUUCUUUAUCAAAAACAUUAAUUUUAUGCAGCUCUCUCUAAACAUAUCGGAUAUAUUAAUUUUUUAAAAAAAGAUAAGUGAAAUGAUAUUUUUGCUAUCACAAAUGUGCCAUUCAAUGACAUUUUUAUUAUCAUAAAUAUGUCCAUUUAAAAAUUCUAAUUGUUAGAAUUAUGCAGAAGUAUUCUUUUGAAAAUUUUCGACAGUCAUCUUCUUCUUUCAUGAAUAAAAUUAUAGUAUAAGAGAGAUAAAAAUAUUAAUUUAUCUUAUUAAUCUAUCAGAAUUAAGUAUUUUAUCUAUGGUUGGUUAUAUUUUUUUUAACGAAUCCUAAUAGUAGGGGUAUAUAUAUAUAUAUAUAUAUAUAUAUAUAUAUAUAUAUUUGAAAAUGUUAGAAUUUUUGUAUGAAUAAAUAUAAAAAGUUGAGUUUUGCAGGAAAUGUUUAUAGAGAACUCUAUCCAUUUAACCCUUAUCAAAAUGUCGUUAUAUGUUUUUUUUUUUAGAAAUAGGUAGCAUGCUAUCUACUUUGUUUAUUUUAUUUUGAAAAUAAAUUUAGCUGGAAACGUGAAUCAAUUAGAAUUUGAACUUGAGACCCACCAAAUACUUUGCCACUUGUUGCUAGAAACGGUCGGUAAAUAUUGUUGGUAUAUGUUGAUUUUCAAAGUGGAGAACUAGACCGUUGUUCUUGGAGCAAACCAAACAAUAAGCUCUAAAUCUGAAAGCAGUUUCAUUUGUAAUCUAAUUUUAUUAUUAUCGUACGACGAAAAUCGAGCUCACUCCAACAAACCAGUUCGGUCGGUGGGAGUAUGGGCGUAAAUAAGAGUAGAAUUUAAACGAGGAAAAAUUAUACUAUACUAUCAAACAUUAUUCUGUUUUCUCUUUCAUCAUCGCUUUGUUCGAUGAUGAUGAACACAGUGCCGCCAGGAGGACAGGGCAAGACCACGGACGAGAAGGGACGCCCGCGUACCGCGCACCGUCGGCCGUCGCCUCACAUGCGAGUAGGGGUGUCAAACGGGCCGGGCGGCCCGCGGUCCGCCCGGCCCGGCACGAGAGUGGGCCGGGCCAGGCACGGCACGGCACUGUAGCGUGCCGUGCCGGCCCGGCCCGACCAGUUAAAUCGGGCCGUGCUGGGCUGCACUCCCGUGGCCCGAUGGCCCGGCACGGCCCGGCACGAUAUAGGUCUAGGCCGUGCCGGGCCUAGAGGGUACCCAGCCCGGUCCGGCACGGCACGGCCCGGCCCAUGUGGCCAGGCACUCCCGAGCCGGGCCCAAGCUCUGCAGCACCCAGUUGGGCAAGCCAACCUUGGGAGUUGGGUUCCCGAGGCCCUGCAGCACUCAACUCCCAAUGCUUUGGGAGUUGGGCUGUAGCUUUGGGACUCCCAAAUGAGAGUUGGGCUGUGGCUUUGGGAUGGUAUUUUUGUCAAAAAAAUUUAAAAUUUUUAAAUAAUUUAAUUUAAAAUUUAAAAUUUUAAUAUUUUUAUAAAUAUAUUUUAAUUUUUUUUACUUAUAUAUUAUUUUUAAAAAAAUUAAUAUUAAUAUUUUUAUUUUUCAAAAAAUUUAAAUAUUUUUAAAUAAAAUUAAUAAAAUAAAAAAGGGCUGGCCCGAAGCCCCCGGCGGCCCCGGCACGGCCCGCUGCAGUCCGGGCCGGGGCCGUGCUGGGCCGGGUUCCAAAAAAUUUGGCCCGCAAUGCACGGCCCGAUUUUGGGGCCGGGCCGUGCGGGCUGCCUCCGGCCCGUUUCGGCCGGAAAAUGUGGGCCGUGCCGGCCGCGGCACGGCCCACAUUACAUCCCUACAUGCGAGCUUCUUCGAGAUUCCUGCAAGUGGGGCUGAAACCUAC